rnacentral:rRNA from 1 species
GGGUUGUGAGGUUAAGCGAACAAGCGUACACGGUGGAUGCCCUGGCAGUCAGAGGCGAUGAAGGACGUGCUAAUCUGCGAAAAGCGCCGGUAAGGUGAUAUGAACCGUUAUAACCGGCGAUGUCCGAAUGGGGAAACCCGGUGCACUUCGGUGCAUCAUCGUUAGCUGAAUACAUAGGCUAACGAAGCGAACCGGGGGAACUGAAACAUCUAAGUACCCCGAGGAAAAGAAAUCAACCGAGAUUCCCCCAGUAGCGGCGAGCGAACGGGGAACAGCCCAGAGCCUGAAUCAGCUUGUGUGUCAGUGGAACGGUCUGGAAAGGCCGGCGAUACAGGGUGACAGCCCCGUACACGAAGGCACACAGGCUGUGAGCUCGAUGAGUAGGGCGGGACACGUGAUAUCCUGUCUGAAGAUGGGGGGACCAUCCUCCAAGGCUAAAUACUCCUGACUGACCGAUAGUGAACCAGUACCGUGAGGGAAAGGCGAAAAGAACCCCGGCGAGGGGAGUGAAACAGAACCUGAAACCGUGUACGUACAAGCAGUGGGAGCCUUCGUAAGAGGGUGACUGCGUACCUUUUGUAUAAUGGGUCAGCGACUUAUAUUCUGUAGCAAGGUUAACCGUAUAGGGGAGCCGAAGGGAAACCGAGUCUUAAUUGGGCGUUAAGUUGCAGGGUAUAGACCCGAAACCCGGUGAUCUAGCCAUGGGCAGGUUGAAGGUUGGGUAACACUAACUGGAGGACCGAACCGACUAAUGUUGAAAAAUUAGCGGAUGACCUGUGGCUGGGGGUGAAAGGCCAAUCAAACCGGGAGAUAGCUGGUUCUCCCCGAAAGCUAUUUAGGUAGCGCCUCGUGAACUCAUCUCCGGGGGUAGAGCACUGUUUCGGCUAGGGGGCCAUCCCGGCUUACCAACCCGAUGCAAACUGCGAAUACCGGAGAAUGUUAUCACGGGAGACACACGGCGGGUGCUAACGUCCGUCGUGAAGAGGGAAACAACCCAGACCGCCAGCUAAGGUCCCAAAGUCAUGGUUAAGUGGGAAACGAUGUGGGAAGGCCCAGACAGCCAGGAUGUUGGCUUAGAAGCAGCCAUCAUUUAAAGAAAGCGUAAUAGCUCACUGGUCGAGUCGGCCUGCGCGGAAGAUGUAACGGGGCUAAACCAUGCACCGAAGCUGCGGCAGCGACACUGUGUGUUGUUGGGUAGGGGAGCGUUCUGUAAGCCUGCGAAGGUGUGCUGUGAGGCAUGCUGGAGGUAUCAGAAGUGCGAAUGCUGACAUAAGUAACGAUAAAGCGGGUGAAAAGCCCGCUCGCCGGAAGACCAAGGGUUCCUGUCCAACGUUAAUCGGGGCAGGGUGAGUCGACCCCUAAGGCGAGGCCGAAAGGCGUAGUCGAUGGGAAACAGGUUAAUAUUCCUGUACUUGGUGUUACUGCGAAGGGGGGACGGAGAAGGCUAUGUCGGCCGGGCGACGGUUGUCCCGGUUUAAGCGUGUAGGCUGACUUUCCAGGCAAAUCCGGAGAGUUAAGGCUGAGGCGUGAUGACGAGGCACCACGGUGCUGAAGUGACAAAUGCCCUGCUUCCAGGAAAAGCCUCUAAGCAUCAGGUAACAUCAAAUCGUACCCCAAACCGACACAGGUGGUCAGGUAGAGAAUACCAAGGCGCUUGAGAGAACUCGGGUGAAGGAACUAGGCAAAAUGGUGCCGUAACUUCGGGAGAAGGCACGCUGACAUGUAGGUGAAGCCCCUGCGGGUGGAGCUGAAGUCAGUCGAAGAUACCAGCUGGCUGCAACUGUUUAUUAAAAACACAGCACUGUGCAAACACGAAAGUGGACGUAUACGGUGUGACGCCUGCCCGGUGCCGGAAGGUUAAUUGAUGGGGUUAUCGCAAGAGAAGCUCCUGAUCGAAGCCCCGGUAAACGGCGGCCGUAACUAUAACGGUCCUAAGGUAGCGAAAUUCCUUGUCGGGUAAGUUCCGACCUGCACGAAUGGCGUAAUGAUGGCCAGGCUGUCUCCACCCGAGACUCAGUGAAAUUGAACUCGCUGUGAAGAUGCAGUGUACCCGCGGCAAGACGGAAAGACCCCGUGAACCUUUACUACAGCUUGACACUGAACAUUGAGCCUUGAUGUGUAGGAUAGGUGGGAGGCUUUGAAGCGUGGACGCCAGUCUGCGUGGAGCCGACCUUGAAAUACCACCCUUUAAUGUUUGAUGUUCUAACCUGGCGCCGUGAUCCGGCGUGGGGACAGUGUCUGGUGGGUAGUUUGACUGGGGCGGUCUCCUCCCAAAGUGUAACGGAGGAGCACGAAGGUCAGCUAAUCCUGGUCGGACAUCAGGAGGUUAGUGCAAUGGCAUAAGCUGGCUUGACUGCGAGAGUGACGGCUCGAGCAGGUGCGAAAGCAGGUCAUAGUGAUCCGGUGGUUCUGUAUGGAAGGGCCAUCGCUCAACGGAUAAAAGGUACUCCGGGGAUAACAGGCUGAUACCGCCCAAGAGUUCAUAUCGACGGCGGUGUUUGGCACCUCGAUGUCGGCUCAUCACAUCCUGGGGCUGAAGUAGGUCCCAAGGGUAUGGCUGUUCGCCAUUUAAAGUGGUACGCGAGCUGGGUUUAGAACGUCGUGAGACAGUUCGGUCCCUAUCUGCCGUGGGCGCUGGAGAAUUGAGGGGGGCUGCUCCCAGUACGAGAGGACCGGAGUGGACGCAUCACUGGUGUUCGGGUUGUCAUGCCAAUGGCACUGCCCGGUAGCUAAAUGCGGAAGAGAUAAGUGCUGAAAGCAUCUAAGCACGAAACUUGCCCCGAGAUGAGUUCUCCCUGAGACUUUAAGUCUCCUGAAGGAACGUUGAAGACGACGACGUUGAUAGGCCGGGUGUGUAAGCGCAGCGAUGCGUUGAGCUAACCGGUACUAAUGAACCGUGAGGCUUAACCUUACAACGCCAAAGAAGU